rnacentral:rRNA from 1 species
UACGUAGGUGGCAAGCGUUGUCCGGAAUUAUUGGGCGUAAAGCGUGCGCAGGCGGUUCGUUAAGUUCGAUGUGAAAGCCCCGGGCUCAACCUGGGAAUUGCAUUGGAAACUGGCGGGCUUGAGUGUGGCAGAGGGGGGUGGAAUUCCACGUGUAGCAGUGAAAUGCGUAGAUAUGCGGAGGAACACCGAUGGCGAAGGCAAUCCCCUGGGCCUGCACUGACGCUCAUGCACGAAAGCGUGGGGAGCAAACAGG